rnacentral:lncRNA from 1 species
UUCCAGGAACCAGCACGAGGUUGCCUUCUAAUUCACGUGUCUCAUCAUUUCACUGAAGAUGUAUGGAACGCUUCCCCCUUUCAAAGUGUUAAGUACUUUGCUGUCAGCAUCACCAUCACAGCCUGCGAACUCGACACUAAAGAGAGAGAAGUGGAAAAGGCAAAGCUUUGCUGUCUCCUCAGGGAGCUGAGCAGGAAAAGAGUAUUUCCUCUUCGCCAGGAGCACCCACUUCUGAGACCUACUUUGUUCCAGCUUCAUGGGGAUUUGUCCAUCCCUUUUGCAGAGAUUGAUGGACCCUGCAUGGGGGAGAUCGGGUACAUUCCCUUCCUUCAGGGUACCUCUUUUAAGUCUCUGAUGUAAACA